UAAGUAGUCUCGGUCCCACCGAUAUUCCAAACUCAGUCACACCGAGAUGAACCACCUCAGCCAUAAGCCAAACCCUAGAAAACUCGGAUUUUCCGAUUCUGAACUCGGUCUCACCGAAACAUGAGUUGCCAAGCUUCUGUAACCUUCUGUCAUCAAAUCGGUGUCACCGAGAUGAUGAAGUCGGUCCCACCGAAACUGGCAUGCUCUUGUCAUUGCAUGAAUCGGACUAACCGAGAUUGUAUUUUCGGUCCCACCGAAAAUCCCAACGUUCACAUUAUUUGAACUAUCGGUCUCACCGAGUUGUCCACUUCGGUCCCACCGAGAUUGCUCAAAUGUGUGUAACGGUUGGAUUUUGUGUGGAGGCUAUUUAUACCCCUCCACCCCCUCUUCAUUCGUGGAGAGAGCCAUCAGAAAGAACUACCACUCCUACCUUACAUUUCUGAGAAGAGAACUACCUACCCUUGUGUUGAGAUCAAGUUGCUCCACUCCCACCAUAUGAAGCUUGAUCUCUAGCCUUCCCAAGUUGCUUUCCACUCAAUCCUUUCUUCCACCAUAGCCAAAUCAGUGAGGAGAGUUGAGUGUUGGGGAGAUUAUCAUUUGAAGCACAAGAGCAAGGAGUUCAUCAUCAUCUACAACAUCUAUUACCUUUUGGAGGGUGGUGCCUCCUAGAUUGGUUAGGUGUCGCUUGGGAGCCUCCGUCAUCGAGAUGUGGAGUUGAACCAAGAAGUUUGUAAGGGCAAGGAGAUCGCCUACUUCGUGAAGAUCUACCCCGAGUAAGGCUAGCCCUCCGUGGGCGUAGGCCAUGAUGGGAUAGACAAGGUUGCUUCUUCGUGGACCCUUCGUGGGUGGAGCCCUCCGUGGACUCGCGUAGCCGUUACCCUCCGUGGGUUGAAGUCUCCAUCAACGUGGAAGUACGAUAGCACCACCUAUCGGAACCACGAGAAAAAUCACCGCGUCUCCAAAUUGCGUUUGAUCUUCUCCACUUCUCUUUACUACUUGUGCAAUUUACUUUCCGCUGCCCAUACUCUAGAAUUGCAUGUGUAGUGUGCUACUUGACUUGUAUGUUAUGCAAAAUCUGCCAAAAUCUGUCCUUGAUAAAAGACAGAAUUUUUAUCUUGUCGAGUAGUCUAAUCACCCCCCCUCUAGACACUCUCACCUUCUUCGAUCCCUCAAUUGGUAUCAGAGCAUUGGUUUCCAUUGCUUUGGUUUACACACCAUUGGAGGAAGAUGGACGUGUCUACGUUUGGGAGUGUUAGCCAUAGAGUGCCUAUUCUUAAUGGAGUGUCCUAUAACUCGUGGAGGAUUGAAAUGCUUAUUAUCUUUAAGACAUACAAUUUGCGCAAAUAUGUUGAGACCCCCUAUGUGCCUCAAUUUGACCCCUUGCACCCUACCAUGGAUGAAGAGCUUGAUUUGCUUCGUAACCUUAGGACUGUAAAUCUUAUCAUUAGAGGGUUACCCGAUAACUUGCUUAAGCUCGUUACAAACUUUGAGUGCGCCUAUGCUAUGUGGAAGUUCUUGGAAGAACUUUAUCCGGACUACUCUUUGAGAGGUCUUGAUGAAAUUCUAUACAAGACUAUUGAAUUUGAUAUAAUGCGCCCCAAUGAUCCCAACUUUGAUAAAUGCUUCUUUGAGCUUUGUGAUCUUAUGAAAAAGAAGGGUGAUCCCGGUCUUAUCAAUGUUCUAAUUAGAAAUGCUCUUGUAUUGCAUUCCGAUGAUUAUUGUCACAUUGACAAAACUAAUGCAAGUAGUUAUCAAAUUGACCUAGGUGUUGAUGAUGAACAAUCUAUGGGUCAAUAUGAUGAUGAGCAUGAGCAUGAUGAUGAUUACUCCGAUUCGGACACCGAGCUAGACAAGAUCAUGAAGAGUCUCAAUCUUAUGGCAAAUCUGAGAGACUACAUAUCCGGCGGAAAAGAGUGGAUUCUUGAUAGUGGAUGCACCGACCACAUGACCGGAGACAAAGACAUGUUUCGAGAGCUUGCAAAGAACGAUGGUCCACGCAAGUAUGUGACUUUUGGAGACAACUCCAAGGGUAAGGUACUUGGCCUUGGUAAGGUGGCCAUAUCUCAUGAUAGCUCUAUUCAAAAUGUCAUGCUUGUAGAAUCUCUUGGAUACAAUUUACUUUCCGUGUCUAGAUUAGCUGACUUUGGAUUCAACGUGCUAUUCACCGAAGUAGAUUGCCAAGUCUUUUGUCGUGACAAUCAUAACAUGGCGUUUACCGGUAUCCGUAGAGGUGAUCUAUAUAUUGUUGAUUUCACUAAGAAAGCCCAACCUAGAGCUUGCUUCAUUGCUAAAUCCGCUAAAGGUUGGUUAUGGCAUAGAAGGCUUGGACAUGUUGGUAUGCGUAAUCUAGACAAGCUGAUCAAAGGUGAUCAUAUUCUUGGCGUUAAAGAUGUUUUUUUUGACAAAGAUAGACUUUGUAGUGCUUGUCAAGCAGGAAAACAAGUAGGUGGAAGUCAUCCCGUGAAGAACAUCAUGACCACAAGGAGACCGCUUGAGCUUAUUCAUAUGGAUCUCUUCGGUCCCAAUGCUUACAAAAGCCUUGGUGGUAACUCCUUUGGUCUAGUUAUAGUUGAUGAUUAUUCCAGAUUUACGUGGGUAUUUUUCCUUGAUGACAAAUCGCAGGUUCAGAGAAUCUUCAAAACCUUUGCCAGAAAGGCCCAAAAUCAAUUUGAGGUGAAGAUCAAGAAAGUUCGGAGUGACAAUGGAACGGAGUUCAAGAACGCCAAUGUAGACUCUUUUCUCGAUGAGGAAGGGAUUCUACAUGAGUUCUCGGCUACAUACACUCCUCAACAAAAUGGAGUUGUUGAGAGGAAGAACCGAACGCUCAUAGAGAUGGCGAGAACAAUGCUUGAUGAAUACAAGACACCGAAGCAUUUUUGGGGUGAAGCGGUCGAGACAGCUUGUCAUGCUAUCAACAGGCUUUAUCUUCAUAAGCUCCUCGGCAAGACAUCAUACGAGCUCCUCACCGGUAACAAACCCCAAGUGGGAUACUUUCGUGUCUUUGGUUCGAAAUGCUAUAUCCUUGAUAAGCAUCGUCGGUCUAAAUUUGCUCCUAAAACUCAUGAAGGCUUUUUUCUUGGUUAUGGAUCAAACUCCCACACCUACCGUGUCUACAAUAAUUUCACCCGAAAGGUUGAAGAGACGGUAGACGUGAAGUUUGAUGAAUCUAAUGGCUCGCAAGUAGAGCAAAUGCCUAUUGAUGUAGGAGACAAGGACCCAUCGGAAGCUAUCCAAGAUUUAUCUAUUGGAAAGAUCCGUCCCAUGGAAGUGAAGGAGAGUACCUCAUCUACAUAUGUGGAGCCCCCUACCUCACAGCGAAAUGAACCUCAAGGCAACAUGGAGGCUUCCACAAGUGGAACUCACCAAGAUGAGGAAGUGCAACAAGAAGAUCCACCACAACCUCCUUCUCCACCGCCUCAAGACAACACCAACAACAAUGAAGAAGAAGAAGAGGAAGAUGAAGAUGAUGAGGAAGCUCAGCCACAACCUCAACAAAAGCUAUCCCGAGUUCGAGCAAGAGUCAAGAAAAAUCAUCCCGUGGAACAAAUGAUGAACGAUAUCAACUCCGGGAGAAUUACUCGCUCUAAAACUCGCUUAGCUAACUUUUGUGAGCAUUACUCAUUUAUCUAUAGUAUUGAACCUAUGAAGGUAGAAGAAGCACUUGAAGACCCGGAUUGGGUGAACGCUAUGCACGAAGAAUUACACAACUUUGAGAGGAACAAGGUAUGGACUUUGGUAGAGAAGCCCAAGGAUGAUCAAAACGUCAUUGGAACCAAAUGGGUGUUUCGAAACAAGCAAGAUGAAGAUGGACAAGUCAUCCGCAACAAGGCUCGUCUCGUAGCUCAAGGUUACACACAAGUUGAAGGUAUGGACUAUGGUGAGACCUAUGCCCCCGUUGCUAGACUUGAGUCCAUUCACAUUCUUCUUGCUUAUGCCAAUCACCAUGAUAUUACUCUCUAUCAAAUGGAUAUCAAAAGUGCUUUCCUAAAUGGUGAAAUUGAGGAGGAAGUAUUUGUGAAACAACCUCCCAGAUUUGUGAAUCCCAAAAAGCCUAAUCAUGUUUACAAGUUGCACAAAGCUCUUUAUGGUCUUAAACAAGCUCCUAGAGCUUGGUACAAAUGCUUGACUAGCUUUCUUCUUGAAAAAGGCUUUGAGAUUGGAAAGAUAGACUCAAUGCUGUUCACGAAAAGGGUUGAUGGUGAACUAUUUGUGUGCCAAAUAUAUGUUGAUGAUAUUAUCUUUGGUUCAACUAACCCUCAUUUUAGCGAGAAGUUUGGAAAGCUCAUGUCGGAGAAGUAUGAGAUGUCCAUGAUGAGUGAACUCAAAUUCUUCCUUGGGUUGCAAAUCAAGCAAUCUAAGGAGGGUACCUUUGUCUCACAAACAAAGUACACCAAGGAUCUCUUCAAGAAGUUCAACAUGCAAGAAAGCAAAGGUAUGAGAACCCCCAUGCCUACAAGUGAACAUAAUGACUUGACAAAAGAUGGAGAACCCGUUGAUCAAAAGGUUUACCGAUCUAUGAUUGGUUCUCUACUAUAUCUUUGUGCUUCUCGUCCUGACAUAAUGUUGAGUGUAUGCAUGUGUGCUCGAUAUCAAGCAGCCCCUAAAGAAUGUCAUCUUAAAGCUGUUAAAAGGAUUGUGAGAUAUUUGAUACACACACCAAACUUUGGCAUUUGGUAUCCUAAGAGGGCCUCUUUCGACCUUAUUGGCUAUUCCGACUCGGACUGUGCUGGUGACAGGGUUGAUAGAAAGUCAACUUCGGGUACGUGUCAAUUCCUUGGUCGAUCCCUUGUAUCUUGGUCCUCCAAGAAACAAAAUUCGGUAUCAUUAUCCACUGCCGAAGCGGAAUAUAUUGCUGCUGGUUCGUGUUGUGCUCAAUUGCUAUGGAUGACACAAACGCUUAAGGAUUAUGGGAUACAUGUGAGACAUGUUCCCUUGCUUUGUGAUAAUGAGAGUGCGAUUAAAAUUGGACACAAUCCCGUGCAACACUCUCGAACGAAACAUAUUGAAGUUCGUCACCAUUUCAUUCGUGAUCACAUUGCCAAGGGUGACAUCAAUCUUAAGCAUGUUCGUACUGACAAACAACUCGCUGAUAUCUUUACAAAACCUCUUGAUGAGAAGGUGUUUUGUCGCUUAAGGAGUGAGUUGAACAUCAUUGAUGCCUCAAACUUGGAGUGAGAACUCCAUUGAUGCAUGCAAGGCAUGAGCCUACUUGACUAAUCCUUGAUAUUUCUCUUAUGAUGGUAAUCAUAUGUCUUGGACACAUUUGCCUCCUUGUAUUGCAUCUAACUCCUUGCAGGUACUUGGAUGAUCUACAUUCCACAAGACUACCACACACUCAAAUCAUGAGUAAUCUUGUCAUUGACCAAGUAUCUAGCCCUUUGGGAUGUUGAGUUCAAGGAACAAAAUUCCACAUAUCCUUUUUGACAUCUUAUACAUCUAGUAUUUCGCUCUUGUCAUCUUGGAUAUCCUUGAGUAUUUCCUUGCUUGCCUAACCCAUGUAGGAAGAUGAACUACACAAGUGGAAAUGGCGCUCCAACUUCACAUUCAAUGAGCACCUACAUCAAGUUUACCUACAUGAACAAAGCAACAACAAGCCCAAGGUAUGUUCUUCACAUCUUUAAGGAGCUUUGCUCAAAGUCAUGAGUACACGCAGCUUCAUAAGAUGUGAUCACAUCAAAUGCUUAAUCGAAAAAUGGCAACCCCAUUUUGAGCUUAAACGAUGAGUAUGACCCAUGAUCAAAUGUUCUCAUUUGACUCCUAAGUCAAUAUACUCACACAUAGGUGACCUUGUCGCCGACCCUUAUCUAGAUGAAGUACAUAUGUUUUGGAGUCUUUCUAUUUUCUCUUAUGUUCUCUCAUUGAGUUUUUUUUUUAAAAAAACUUCAUCUAGGAAUCUUUUUCAUUUCUUUUUUUUGGUCUUUGUGAAUAUCCUUCUGGCUCUGAUCAAUUCCUCGAAAAUCAUUCACAAAUUCAUUGCAAACCCUUUGAAACAUUCCUCGCAAAUUGAGCUGAAUUAUUUCUGUAUUUCCUUGGAAUUAAACUCGGCGUCACCGAUUUAAAUAUUUCGGUCUAACCGAAAAGGAUCUACCCUAAGUCCCUGACUUUCGGACCCACCGAUCCAUCUUAAUUCGGUGUCACCGAUUUAUUUCUUUCAGGAUAUCAUCUUCUGCAGCUCCACUCAAUGAUUCUCUAUGCAUGUUCCUUUUUGCCCUAUUGUGAUUCUUAAGGAUCCCACUUCUUUCUUUCCAUCUUCCCUAACCUUCCUAGUUUGCUGUCCUUUUCGGCACUUGAUGUCAAAGGGGGAGAAGACUUAGGGGAGAAGAGAAGAUUUAGGGGGAGAAGAAGAGCAAUCUUACCUUAAGGGGGAGAGAAUCACAUCAAAGCUUUGCCGUGUUUUUCCUUAUAAGAGAAUUUCUUGCCGUGUUUCACAUUGGACAUUACAAUUGGCGUCAUUCUCAUUUGGCAUCAUUCUUUUGAUUUUGCUCUUUCCAUCAAACCCCUUGAUCGUAGAGAACUCAAAGGGAGAGGAAUCUUCACAAUUGAUAUCUUAUGGAAAGCAAAAUCUCUCAGAGUUCAUUGAAAAUCUUUUAGUUUCAGAGACAUGUUUGCUGAUUCAAGCUUGUGCUCAAUAUGAGACACUCUUUAUACAUGUCAUCCCUGGCUUGGUACUCUUGAUGUUCUUGCAGUUGGUUGAAGAAAUACUCUUGUGUUAUCUAACCUUGUUUUCCCAAGUUUAUCUCUUCAGGUACAAUGCCAAGGAACCUCAAGGUAAGUAUAUGCACUUUGCAGAAUGUGCAUGAUGGUGACUUGCUUGUGAAUACUUGUUUGCAAGAAAUCACCAUGCACAUAUGCAUUAUCACUCACUUCUUUUCAUCUGCUCUGAUGCAUGUAGCCAAGCUGCAUGUAGCACAUCUUGCUUUUCUCUCUUGUGUGCUUGUGGUAGUCCAAAACCGUAAUUUAUGAAAAUCUUGCACACUUGUAGGGGGAGCCUGUGUACUACAUGCUUGUCAAAGCUUUCGUGAUAAUUCUGUCUUUCUUUCAAUAAGCUUUGAUGUCUUGUUUAGUGUGUUGCCAUCAAUUACCAAAAAGGGGGAGAUUGAAAGCACAUUUGCUCCUCGGGUGGUUUUGGUAAUUAAUGACAACAUACUUUGUGGUUGGACUAAUGCUUUUAUCAAGUAUGUUUCAGGAAAUUCAAUCACAUUGGCAUGGCAAAAGGACUAAAGAGGUGGACCCCUCAAAAUGCUAAGGCAAGCAUUGGCAAAAGCUCAAGACUCCAUUUUUGGUUUAGUGAUCCUAGAUCACAUUGAGUCCAUAGGAAAAGCCAAUACUAUUAAAAGGGGAUGAGGUUAUGAUGAUGAUCUGGUUGCUCAAGUGCUUAGUGAUACAUCUCCUAAACUAUCAGCAACUUUCACUGCCAUAUACACUCAUAAGUAGUCUCGGUCCCACCGAUAUUCCAAACUCAGUCACACCGAGAUGAACCACCUCAGCCAUAAGCCAAACCCUAGAAAACUCGGAUUUUCCGAUUCUGAACUCGGUCUCACCGAAACAUGAGUUGCCAAGCUUCUGUAACCUUCUAUCAUCAAAUCGGUGUCACCGAGAUGAUGAAGUCGGUCCCACCGAAACUGGCAUGCUCUUGUCAUUGCACGAAUCGGACUAACCGAGAUUGUAUUUUCGGUCCCACCGAAAAUCCCAACGUUCACAUUAUUUGAACUAUCAGUCUCACCGAGUUGUCCACUUCGGUCCCACCGAGAUUGCUCAAAUGUGUGUAACGGUUGGAUUUUGUGUGGAGGCUAUUUAUACCCCUCCACCCCCUCUUCAUUCGUGGAGAGAGCCAUCAGAAAGAACUACCACUCCUACCUUACAUUUCUGAGAAGAGAACUACCUACCCUUGUGUUGAGAUCAAGUUGCUCCACUCCCACCAUAUGAAGCUUGAUCUCUAGCCUUCCCAAGUUGCUUUCCACUCAAUCCUUUCUUCCACCACAGCCAAAUCAGUGAGGAGAGUUGAGUGUUGGGGAGAUUAUCAUUUGAAGCACAAGAGCAAGGAGUUCGUCAUCAUCUACAACAUCUAUUACCUUUUGGAGGGUGGUGCCUCCUAGAUUGGUUAGGUGUCGCUUGGGAGCCUCCGUCAUCGAGAUGUGGAGUUGAACCAAGAAGUUUGUAAGGGCAAGGAGAUCGCCUACUUCGUGAAGAUCUACCCCGAGUAAGGCUAGCCCUCCGUGGGCGUAGGCCAUGAUGGAAUAGACAAGGUUGCUUCUUCGUGGACCCUUCGUGGGUGGAGCCCUCCGUGGACUCGCGCAGCCGUUACCCUCCGUGGGUUGAAGUCUCCAUCAACGUGGAAGUACGAUAGCACCACCUAUCGGAACCACGAGAAAAAUCACCGCGUCUCCAAAUUGCGUUUGAUCUUCUCCACUUCUCUUUACUACUUGUGCAAUUUACUUUCCGCUGCCCAUACUCUAGAAUUGCAUGUGUAGUGUGCUACUUGACUUGUAUGUUAUGCAAAAUCUGCCAAAAUCUGUCCUUGAUAAAAGACAGAAUUUUUAUCUUGUCGAGUAGUCUAAUCACCCCCCCCUCUAGACACUCUCACCUUCUUCGAUCCCUCAAG
rnacentral:lncRNA from 1 species